rnacentral:tRNA from 2 species
ACAAGGAUGGCCGAGUGGUUAAGGCGUUGGACUUAAGUUCCAAUGUACGAAUAUACGCGUGGGUUCGAACCCCACUCCUGGUA